UUGAACGCUGGCGGCAUGCCUUACACAUGCAAGUCGAACGGUAGAGGGGCAACCCUUGAGAGUGGCGAACGGGUGAGUAAUAUAUCGGAACGUGCCCAGUCGUGGGGGAUAACGCAGCGAAAGCUGCGCUAAUACCGCAUACGAUCUAUGGAUGAAAGCGGGGGAUCGCAAAGACCUCGCGCGAUUGGAGCGGCCGAUAUCAGAUUAGGUAGUUGGUGGGGUAAAAGCCCC
rnacentral:rRNA from 1 species